rnacentral:rRNA from 1 species
UACGGAGGGUGCAAGCGUUAUCCGGAUUCACUGGGUUUAAAGGGUGCGUAGGAGGGCAGGUAAGUCAGUGGUGAAAUCUCCAAGCUUAACUUGGAAACUGCCGUUGAUACUAUCUGUCUUGAAUAUUGUGGAGGUCAGCGGAAUAUGUCAUGUAGCGGUGAAAUGCUUAGAUAUGACAUAGAACACCAAUUGCGAAGGCAGCUGGCUACACAUAUAUUUGACACUGAGGCACGAAAGCGUGGGGAUCAAAACAGGG